AUACGUAGGGUGCAAGCGUUAAUCGGAAUUACUGGGCGUAAAGCAUGCGCAGGCGGUUUUGUCAGACAGAGGUGAAAUCCCCCGGCUCAACCUGGGAACUGCCUUUGUGACUGCCAUGCUAGAGUACCGCAGAGGGGGAUGGAAUUCCCCGUGUAGCCGUGAAAAGCGUCGAUAUGCGGAGGACCGCCUAGGGCAAAGGCAUACCCCUGCGCCUGUAGUAACGCUAAUGCACGAAAGCGUGCGCAGCACACGCGAUUUCAGCCCCUGGUUGUCCGCGCCCACAAGUGUGUCAACGGGGUGCUCGGCAAGCAGUCACGCAGUACCGAAGCUCACACGUAACGUGGCCCCCCUGGGGAGUUCGGCCUCAACGCUGAAACUCAAAAGAACUUACGGGG
rnacentral:rRNA from 1 species